GCCGGCGCGGUGGCGCUCGCCUGUAGUCCCAGCUACUCGGGAGGCUGAGGCAGGAGGAUCGCUUGAGCCCAGGAGUUCUGGGCUGUAGUGCGCUAUGCCGAUCGGUGUCCGCACUAAGUUCGGCAUCAAUAUGGUGACCUCCCGGGAGCGGGGGACCACCAGGUUGCCUAAGGAGGGGUGAACCGGCCCAGGUCGGAAACGGAGCAGGUCAAAACUCCCGUGCUGAUCAGUAGUGGGAUCGCGCCUGUGAAUAGCCACUGCACUCCAGCCUGGGCAACAUAGCGAGACCCCGUCUCUU
rnacentral:SRP_RNA from 1 species